CCUUCAUCAAAUCUGUAAGGUCAUUUGCAUGAAAGAACAUUAGAAUCAGCGUUAAAGCCCAAGUUUUUCAUAGCCAGAGGAUAAUUGAUUUGAGGCACAAAGUCUUGUUCAAUUACAUUCAUUACAGCUCUGACAGCUGCAGCUCUGUGAACUAGUGACAGUUGGCAUCAUCAGAGAGAGCAUCACUGGAAUCAGAUCAGUUCUGACAACCUGACAAUAGGCUGCUAAUCUCUAUAUGUCGGCAGCAUGAAAAGAAAGGUCUGAAAGGUUGGUCUGACUGAGCUGUGCUAAAGCCUGCGGUUUAUCUGAGGCGCUCUCUGCAUGACGACACGCUGGAUGAGGAGCCUGAGAGUGUUGAGUUCAUCGGACUGCGUUGGGCGUCAGACCAGAAGGGGUCACUGUGUCACCGUCGCUGUGCAGUCGCUGCUGUCCCCUUUGUGUCUGCUGAGAUAACAGCCACCAUACAAACAGAGCAGCUCAGUGCUGAUGUGGCGAAGGUGUGAAACUGUUUGCUCUUAACAUAACUCUGCCAGAGAGGACGCCGUGCUCUGUGACAUCAGCACUGGACUCAGAUGAAAGCAGGAAGAGCUGCGCUAGCUAAAUUUGUCCUUGUGAGGGAUUAGCCUUCAGACAGGAGGCCUCGGUUACACCCCCUCAGCAUCGACAUGGAAAUGGAGCCACAUGGAGAUGAGUGCGCCCAUAAUCCAAUGGCAUGCUGUGCCUCAAGUUUUCCUGACC